rnacentral:rRNA from 1 species
UUUGGUGCUUGCACUGAAUGGGAACCGGCGAACGGGUGCGUAACACGUAUGCAACCUACCUAUAACUGGGGAAUAGCCCGAAGAAAUUCGGAUUAAUACCCUAUAAUAUUUAGUCAUCGCAUGAUGAUUAUCUUAAAACUCCGGUGGUUAUAGAUGGGCAUGCGGCCUAUUAGUUUGUUGGUGAGGUAAUGGCUCACCAAGACUACGAUAGGUAGGGGGUCUGAGAGGAUGAUCCCCCACACUGGUACUGAGACACGGACCAGACUCCUACGGGAGGCAGCAGUAGGGAAUAUUGGACAAUGGACGAAAGUCUGAUCCAGCCAUGCCGCGUGCAGGAUGACGGCCCUAUGGGUUGUAAACUGCUUUUAUAUAGGAAGAAACCUUUUUACGUGUAGAAAGCUGACGGUACUAUAUGAAUAAGGACCGGCUAACUCCGUGCCAGCAGCCGCGGUAAUACGGAGGGUCCAAGCGUUGUCCGGAUUUAUUGGGUUUAAAGGGUAC